CGGCGACUGCCUAACACAUGCAAGUCGAACGAAGACCUUCGGGCGUUAGUGGCGGCACGGGUGCGUAACGCGUGGGAAGUCUGCCCCUACCGGUUCGGAAUAACAGUUAGAAAUGACUAGCUAAUACCGGAUGAUGACGUAAGUCCAAAGAUUUAUCGCCGAGGGAUGAGCCCGCGUAGGAUUAGCUAGUUGGUGAGGUAAAGGCUCACCAAGGCGACGAUCCUUAGCUGGUCUGAGAGGAUGAUCAGCCACACAGGGACUGAGACACGGCCCAGACUCCUACGGGAGGCAGCAGUGGGGAAUAUUGGACAAUGGGCGAAAGCCUGAUCCAGCAAUGCCGCGUGAGUGAUGAAGGCCUUAGGGUCGUAAAGCUCUUUUACCCGGGAUGAUAAUGACAGUACCGGGAGAAUAAGCUCCGGCUAACUCCGUG
rnacentral:rRNA from 1 species